GUGUCAGCCGCCGCGGUAAUACGUAGGCAGCAAGCGUUGUUCGGAGUUACUGGGCGUAAAGGGUGCGUAGGCGGUUCCUUAAGUUUGGUGUGAAAUCUCCCGGCUCAACUGGGAGGGUGCGCCGGAUACUGAGGGACUUGGAGUGCGGGAAGGGAGAGUGGAAUUCCUGGUGUAGCGGUGAAAUGCGUAGAUAUCAGGAGGAACACCGGUGGUGUAAACGGCUCUCUGGACCGUAACUGACGCUGAGGCACGAAAGCGUGGGUAGCAAACAGGAUUAGAAACCCCCGUAGUCC
rnacentral:rRNA from 1 species